AGUGAACGCUGGCGGUAGGCCUAACACAUGCAAGUCGAACGGCAGCACAGUAAGAGCUUGCUCUUACGGGUGGCGAGUGGCGGACGGGUGAGGAAUACAUCGGAAUCUACUUUUUCGUGGGGGAUAACGUAGGGAAACUUACGCUAAUACCGCAUACGACCUACGGGUGAAAGCAGGGGAUCUUCGGACCUUGCGCGAUUGAAUGAGCCGAUGUCGGAUUAGCUAGUUGGCGGGGUAAAGGCCCACCAAGGCGACGAUCCGUAGCUGGUCUGAGAGGAUGAUCCGCCACACUGGAACUGAGACACGGUCCAGACUCCUACGGGAGGCAGCAGUGGGGAAUAUUGGACGAUGGGCGCAAGCCUGAUCCAGCCAUACCGCGUGGGUGAAGAAGGCCUUCGGGUUGUAAAGCCCUUUUGUUGGGAAAGAAAAGCAGCAGGUUAAUACCCCGCUGUUCUGACGGUACCCAAAGAAUAAGCACCGGCUAACUUCGUG
rnacentral:rRNA from 1 species